GUGAAAGGAAGAGACUAUUGGCGGGUUUGGUACAACCGGUAUAUAUGGUAUUAUUAAGGUGGUAAAUACGCUAUUAGAAAUAGCGACCACUUGGUCCAGUUGUGAGGGUAGGAUGGACGUUUCACUAACACAAAAGUUAAUUUUCUGACAUUACCUGACCAGGUAACCAUGUAUUUUGCUCUCACCUGUGCACGCGGCCCUUUCGACCAGCAGCCUCAUUUCGACCAAAUAUCUCCAGUGUUGGAUACUGACGUUUCGAAUAUACCCACAGAUGCAGAGAUAUUACAUGUUAGCAAUCCUAUCCAGGAAAUACCUUCAUAUUACUUUCUCUCAGAUGUGCCAGAUCCGGAGGAUACUGAAGAUUACAACAAUUUAG
rnacentral:lncRNA from 1 species